rnacentral:rRNA from 1 species
GACGAACCUUGCUAGCGUUAUUCGGAAUUACUGGGCUUAAAGAGCGUGUAGGCGGCCAUACAGGUCCGUUGUGAAAACUCGAGGCUCAACCUCGAGACGCCGAUGGAAACCGUCUGGCUAGAGUCCGGAAGAGGAGAGUGGAAUUCCUGGUGUAGCGGUGAAAUGCGCAGAUAUCAGGAAGAACACCCGUGGCGAAGGCGGCUCUCUAGUACGGUACUGACGCUGAGACGCGAAAGCGUGGGGAGCGAACAGG